GACGAACGCUGGCGGCGUGCUUAACACAUGCAAGUCGAACGGAAAGGCCCUUCGGGGUACUCGAGUGGCGAACGGGUGAGUAACACGUGGGUGAUCUGCCCUGCACUUUGGGAUAGCCUGGGGAACUGGGUCUAAUACCGAAUAGGACCACGCGCUUCAUGGUGGGUGGUGGGCAGGUUUUGCGGGGUGGGAUGGGGCCGCGGCCUAUCAGCUUGUUGGUGGGGUAAUGGCCUGCCAAGGCGACGACGGGUAGCCGGCCUGAGAGGGUGACCGGCCACACUGGGACUGCGAUACGGCCCAGACUCCUACGGGAGGCAGCAGUGGGGAAUAUUGCACAAUGGGCGCAAGCCUGAUGCAGCGACGCCGCGUGAGGGAUGACGGCCUUCGGGUUGUAAACCUCUUUCAAUAGGGACGAAGCGCAAGUGACGGUACCUAUAGAAGAAGCACCGGCCAACUACGUG
rnacentral:rRNA from 1 species